rnacentral:tRNA from 1 species
CGAAAUCGGUAGACGCUACGGACUUAAUUGAUUUGAGCCUUAGUAUGGAAACCUACUAAGUGAGAACUUUCAAGUAAGAGGAAAAUCCGUCGACUUUUAAAAUCGUGAGGGUUCAAGUCCCUCUAUCCC